UACGUAGGGGGCAAGCGUUGUCCGGAAUUAUUGGGCGUAAAGCGCGUGUAGGCGGCUCGGCAAGUCUGCUGUGAAAGUCCAGGGCUCAACCCUGGAAUGCCGGUGGAUACUGUCGAGCUCGAGUCCGGAAGAGGCGAGUGGAAUUCCUGGUGUAGCGGUGGAAUGCGUAGAGAUCGGGAAGAACACCCGUGGCGAAGGCGGCCGGCUGGGCCGGAUCCGACGCUGAGGCGCGAAAGCGUGGGGAGCAAACAGG
rnacentral:rRNA from 1 species